rnacentral:sRNA from 1 species
GCCCGCGCCCCGCCAUGGAGGACCUGGAUGCCCUGCUCUCUGACCUGGAGACUACCACCUCGCACAUGCCAAGGUCAGGGGCUCCCAAAGAGCGCCCUGCGGAGCCUCUCACCCCUCCCCCAUCCUAUGGCCACCAGCCACAGACAGGGUCUGGGGAGUCUUCAGGAGCCUCGGGGGACAAGGACCACCUGUACAGCACGGUAUGCAAGCCUCGGUCCCCAAAGCCUGCAGCCCCGGCGGCCCCUCCAUUCUCCUCUUCCAGCGGUGUCUUGGGUACUGGGCUCUGUGAGCUAGAUCGGUUGCUUCAGGAACUUAAUGCCACUCAGUUCAACAUCACAGAUGAAAUCAUGUCUCAGUUCCCAUCUAGCAAGGUGGCUUCAGGAGAGCAGAAGGAGGACCAGUCUGAAGAUAAGAAAAGACCCAGCCUCCCUUCCAGCCCGUCUCCUGGCCUCCCAAAGGCUUCUGCCACCUCAGCCACUCUGGAGCUGGAUAGACUGAUGGCCUCACUCUCUGACUUCCGCGUUCAAAACCAUCUUCCAGCCUCUGGGCCAACUCAGCCACCGGUGGUGAGCUCCACAAAUGAGGGCUCCCCAUCCCCACCAGAGCCGACUGGCAAGGGCAGCCUUGACACCAUGCUGGGGCUGCUGCAGUCCGACCUCAGCCGCCGGGGUGUUCCCACCCAGGCCAAAGGCCUCUGUGGCUCCUGCAAUAAACCUAUUGCUGGGCAAGUGGUGACGGCUCUGGGCCGCGCCUGGCACCCCGAGCACUUCGUUUGCGGAGGCUGUUCCACCGCCCUGGGAGGCAGCAGCUUCUUCGAGAAGGAUGGAGCCCCCUUCUGCCCUGAGUGCUACUUUGAGCGCUUCUCGCCAAGAUGUGGCUUCUGCAACCAGCCCAUCCGACACGUGAGCCUCGCCCGGCCGCACCGAGCCCGCCCUAUCUCACCAGGAGAGCUGUGGGACGGGCCUCCACCGCAUGGGUCCCGCCCCACCCGCGAUACCCCACUCC